GACGAACGCUGGCGGCGUGCUUAACACAUGCAAGUCGAACGGAAAGGCCCUGCUUUUGUGGGGUGCUCGAGUGGCGAACGGGUGAGUAACACGUGAGUAACCUGCCCUUGACUUUGGGAUAACUUCAGGAAACUGGGGCUAAUACCGGAUAGGAGCUCCUGCUGCAUGGUGGGGGUUGGAAAGCUUCGGCGGUUGGGGAUGGACUCGCGGCUUAUCAGCUUGUUGGUGGGGUAGUGGCUUACCAAGGCUUUGACGGGUAGCCGGCCUGAGAGGGUGACCGGCCACAUUGGGACUGAGAUACGGCCCAGACUCCUACGGGAGGCAGCAGUGGGGAAUAUUGCACAAUGGGCGGAAGCCUGAUGCAGCAACGCCGCGUGCGGGAUGACGGCCUUCGGGUUGUAAACCGCUUUCGCCUGUGACGAAGCGUGAGUGACGGUAAUGGGUAAAGAAGCACCGGCUAACUACGUGCCAGCAGCCGCGGUGAUACGUAGGGUGCGAGCGUUGUCCGGAUUUAUUGGGCGUAAAGGGCUCGUAGGUGGUUGAUCGCGUCGGAAGUGUAAUCUUGGGGCUUAACCCUGAGCGUGCUUUCGAUACGGGUUGACUUGAGGAAGGUAGGGGAGAAUGGAAUUCCUGGUGGAGCGGUGGAAUGCGCAGAUAUCAGGAGGAACACCAGUGGCGAAGGCGGUUCUCUGGGCCUUUCCUGACGCUGAGGAGCGAAAGCGUGGGGAGCGAACAGGCUUAGAUACCCUGGUAGUCCACGCUGUAAACGGUGGGUACUAGGUGUGGGGUCCAUUCCACGGGUUCCGUGCCGUAGCUAACGCUUUAAGUACCCCGCCUGGGGAGUACGGCCGCAAGGCUAAAACUCAAAGGAAUUGACGGGGCCCCGCACAAGCGGCGGAGCAUGCGGAUUAAUUCGAUGCAACGCGUAGAACCUUACCUGGGUUUGACAUGGAUCGGGAGUGCUCAGAGAUGGGUGUGCCUCUUUUGGGGUCGGUUCACAGGUGGUGCAUGGCUGUCGUCAGCUCGUGUCGUGAGAUGUUGGGUUAAGUCCCGCAACGAGCGCAACCCUUGUUCACUGUUGCCAGCACGUUAUGGUGGGGACUCAGUGGAGACCGCCGGGGUCAACUCGGAGGAAGGUGGGGAUGACGUCAAGUCAUCAUGCCCCUUAUGUCCAGGGCUUCACGCAUGCUACAAUGGCUGGUACAGAGAGUGGCGAGCCUGUGAGGGUGAGCGAAUCUCGGAAAGCCGGUCUCAGUUCGGAUUGGGGUCUGCAACUCGACCUCAUGAAGUCGGAGUCGCUAGUAAUCGCAGAUCAGCAACGCUGCGGUGAAUACGUUCCCGGG
rnacentral:rRNA from 1 species